rnacentral:rRNA from 1 species
AGUGCUUGCACUUCGCUGACGAGUGGCGGACGGGUGAGUAAUGCUUGGGAACUUGCCUUUGCGAGGGGGAUAACAGUUGGAAACGACUGCUAAUACCGCAUAAUGUCUACGGACCAAACGGGGCUUAGGCUCCGGCGCAAAGAGAGGCCCAAGUGAGAUUAGCUAGUUGGUAAGGUAAAGGCUUACUAAGGCAACGAUCUCUAGCUGUUCUGAGUGGAAGAUCAACCACACUGGGACUGAGACACGGUCCAGACUCCUACGGGAGGCUCCAGUGGGGAAUAUUGCACAAUGGGGGAAACCCUGAUGCAGCCCUGCCGCGUGAGUGAAGAAGGCCUUCGGGUUGUAAAGCACUUUCAGUUGUGAGGAACAGUUAGUAUUUAAUACCUGCUAGCCGUGACGUUGACGACAGAAGAAGCGCCGGCUAACUCCGUGCCAGCAUCCGCGGUAAUACGGAGGGUGCGAGCGUUAUUCGGAAUUACUGGGCGUAAAGCGCACCCAGGCGGCUUGUUAAGCUACAUGUGAAAGCC